rnacentral:rRNA from 1 species
UACGUAGGGUGCAAGCGUUGUCCGGAAUUAUUGGGCGUAAAGAGCUCGUAGGCGGUCUGUCGCGUCUGCUGUGAAAACUCAGGGCUUAACCCUGAGCUUGCAGUGGGUACGGGCAGACUAGAGUGCGGUAGGGGAGACUGGAAUUCCUGGUGUAGCGGUGAAAAUGCGCAGAUAUCAGGAGGAACACCGGUGGCGAAGGCGGGUCUCUGGGCCGUAACUGACGCUGAGGAGCGAAAAGCAUGGGGAGCGAACAGG